ACGAAGGCCGUCGUUCUGCUUAAAUCGCGGGUGGUUGCUAGUGCGCUCGGAGCCGAAGGUGCGUGGGGAGAGUUCUUUUAGACGAGGUAUGAACUCCCCCUAAGAUUGGCAAUCGGGAGACCUUGUACGGAGAGUUGAGCUGUCUGAACUCUCUGGUUUGAUAGGCUCCAGUAAUCCGCGCCGGAGUACGUUGGUCCCAUUUUUCUCCUCGCCGUGCACCCGCCCAGCCUUUCGCGGAUUCCCGGCUCUUCCGGAUCUGGUGCGGUCUCUCCAAGGAGCUGUGUGGUUUUAGAUCCGCUAACGCCGAGCCUUGGAUCUGGGAUUCGUAUGGCUCACUGCUUUUUCUGUCAUUCAUGGAGAAUUUAGCUGACGGUGCCGCCUUUUUGUGCUUCGUGCUCCCUGCUUCCCUUCCCUAAGCCUUCAGGCUCGGACUGAAACAUCAGCUCUUCUUGGAUCUUGAACCUGCCAACUUUCAGACUGGAACUUAUGUCAUUGGCCCUCACUGGCCCUCCUGGUUCUCAGGCCUUUGGAUUCAGACUGGA